rnacentral:lncRNA from 1 species
UUUUAUUGACCAAAUAUAUCUCACUUUAAAUCCAAGCCCAAAACUUGUUAGGAGUGGAUUAGAUGUAGCCGUGUAGCACAUACAUAUUGAUUCCACACUCUUCAUUUGAAUUAGUUUAUCAAACCAGUGGAAGAUCUAACAAGCAAACUGACUCUAACAAGAUUUGAAAUCAGAAUAUAAAGGAUAAAAAAAACAAAAAACAACAACAUUUAACUUGACGCUGCAUUGAUUCGGAGUCGUUGCUGCAUUUGUGGAAAUUAUAUUUUUAAUUAACCAAUUAUGAAUUGCAUUUUCAUUUUACUUUGUCUCCUGCAAAUAGUUUACAGCUUCAUGUAUCAGAAUAAAUUCUCCUACAAAAGCGCAAAAGAUCUACAAACACAGACCAAUACAAUGUCAAAAGGCCCUACGGAUAGGAAUUAUCCAAGCAACACAAGCACAACGGAUUCACAAAUGCAGAAUGAACUAAUGUCAAAUAGU